rnacentral:rRNA from 1 species
UACGUAGGGGGCAAGCGUUAUCCGGAUUUACUGGGUGUAAAGGGGGCGCAGACGGCGAUGCAAGCCAGGAGUGAAAGCCCGGGGCCCAACCCCGGGACUGCUCUUGGAACUGCGUGGCUGGAGUGCAGGAGGGGCAGGCGGAAUUCCUGGUGUAGCGGUGAAAUGCGUAGAUAUCAGGAGGAACACCGGUGGCGAAGGCGGCCUGCUGGACUGCAACUGACGCUGAGGCUCGAAAGCAUGGGUAGCGAACAGG